UAAACUUUGCACAGUGUUUUAAAAGGGUCUGUUAGGUAGAAACAGCUCACAACGGCGGUAAACUUUGCACAGUGUUUUAAAAGGGUCUGUUAGGUAGAAACAGCUCACAACGGCGGUAAACUUUGCACAGUGUUUUAAAAGGGUCUGUUAGGUAGAAACAGCUCACAACGGCGGUAAACUUUGCACAGUGUUUUAAAAGGGUCUGUUAGGUAGAAACAGCUCACAACGGCGGUAAACUUUGCACAGUGUUUUAAAAGGGUCUGUUAGGUAGAAACAGCUCACAACGGCGGUAAACUUUGCACAGUGUUUUAAAAGGCUCUGUUAGGUAGAAACAGCUCACAACGGCGGUAAACUUUGCACAGUGUUUUAAAAGGGUCUGUUAGGUAGAAACAGCUCACAACGGCGGUAAACUUUGCACAGUGUUUUAAAAGGGUCUGUUAGGUAGAAACAGCUCACAACGGCGGUAAACUUUGCACAGUGUUUUAAAAGGGUCUGUUAGGUAGAAACAGCUCACAACGGCGGUAAACUUUGCACAGUGUUUUAAAAGGGUCUGUUAGGUAGAAACAGCUCACAACGGCGGUAAACUUUGCACAGUGUUUUAAAAGGGUCUGUUAGGUAGAAACAGCUCACAACGGCGGUAAACUUUGCACAGUGUUUUAAAAGGGUCUGUUAGGUAGAAACAGCUCACAACGGCGGUAAACUUUGCACAGUGUUUUAAAAGGGUCUGUUAGGUAGAAACAGCUCACAACGGCGGUAAACUUUGCACAGUGUUUUAAAAGGGUCUGUUAGGUAGAAACAGCUCACAACGGCGGUAAACUUUGCACAGUGUUUUAAAAGGGUCUGUUAGGUAGAAACAGCUCACAACGGCGGUAAACUUUGCACAGUGUUUUAAAAGGGUCUGUUAGGUAGAAACAGCUCACAACGGCGGUAAACUUUGCACAGUGUUUUAAAAGGCUCUGUUAGGUAGAAACAGCUUACAACGGCGGUAAACUUUGCACAGUGUUUUAAAAGGGUCUGUUAGGUAGAAACAGCUCACAACGGCGGUAAACUUUGCACAGUGUUUUAAAAGGGUCUGUUAGGUAGAAACAGCUCACAACGGCGGUAAACUUUGCACAGUGUUUUAAAAGGGUCUGUUAGGUAGAAACAGCUCACAACGGCGGUAAACUUUGCACAGUGUUUUAAAAGGGUCUGUUAGGUAGAAACAGCUCACAACGGCGGUAAACUUUGCACAGU